UAGCAAGUUGGGACAUAAAACCAUAAGGUAAAAAAAGUAAAAGUAUCUAGCUUUUUAUCAUCAAAAUUACUUGUUACUACGAGAGCUUGGCAUCGUAGAUUUAUAGUUUUAUAGUGUUCUACCUAUUUAUCUAAAAAGUGAUCCUAUCUAGCUUUAAAUAGAAAAUAGGCAAUAUAGCUCUAUUGUUAUGGUGUUUCAAUCGCUUUCUUUUUCUUUUGUUUAUAUUGUGUACAUAUGAUAUUAUUAUAUUAAAUAUUAGUAAUAACUAAUAACUAAGAAAACAAGAAUGCAUGAUUGUAAAAAAACAAAAAUUUACUGCGCCAAAAGCUAAAAUGGAGUAGUUCCCAAGAAAGAAACCCGCUGAACCGUAUAUUCUCUGUUAAAACUUUUUACUCUUACGAUGACCUUUUUGCGUUUUUAAUGUAUUUUUUCUUACUUUCGUGCUGCUUAGACAGACAUGUCACUUAUAUUUAUCAGCUUAAGGUCCAUGUCACCAGAAAAAGGUUUUGUAGAACACAAAUGUAUCAGCUUUUUAGGCAGAACCAAAAACUUUAAAAUCACUAUAAUAUGCACACCCAAAUAGCUUUUAUACUAAUUAAGGGAUUUAUAUAUUAUAUAAAACGACUGAAAAGUUGCUGAAGCUCUUGGUGGAAAAUGCACCCACCAUCAUCAUAUGUGAAUGUUUCAAAACGGAUAGCUUCCAAUAGAAAUAUGUUCUUGUUUUAUCAUAUAUUACUUCUUGCGCGCUCUCCGCUGAAGAUUGUUUCUUUCCGGUUCAAAUAUGAAUCCAUAUGGAUUUUAAAACUAUAUUUGAAAACCAAAUAUUAUUUAUGCGGCCCGGCCGAUAGAAUGUGAACUUAUGUUUAAACCUAAAAAUGAAUUGGAGUUAUGUCAAAUAACUUAUGUAUUCAUCUUCUUGCUAGUUGUCCUAUCUUGUGCCCAUAACUUUUGGUAGGGAGUUUUAUAUCUUACUACCAAUAUUUAGCAACUGAUCAAUAUUUCUUUUAUCUUCAUUCAAAUUGACCAUUUUCACGUGACUAUGUACAAUGAAUACGUUGAAAAAAUUACAAUGAACCGAAACGAUAAUAUUUAAAAAUGGUAAAAGCCACAUGGGUGCAAUGGUUAAAAAUUAGUUUAUACUAAAAUAUUACUUUAUGUGUCGCUGAAAUUUGACUCUUUAAUGUUUAAGAUGUACAAAUUUUGUUAUUGAAUCUGAAAUAUGAACAACUAUAUAACAGGGAAUUGCAUUGAAUAUCUAAAAUAUACUUGUUCCAUUAGUUUUUCAUUCAGCUAAUUUUGUUUACUAAUUAUCAUAUAAAAUCUCACCAAUUUUUUUAAAAUGAAACAGAAAGACAUAUCAUCUGAUGGGUUUAAAAGAGUAAUGAAUACAUUGAGUGGAAGCAACCUAAAAGUAUGGGGAACAGUGGAGGUCAACGGCCAAAAGAACAGCCACGUGUCUGUUGGGGCAAAUAAAAGAUGCUGGCGGCCACAGGGAUAUGAUGAAUGAACUAGAGUAAUAUUGUGACACGUGUCAUUUCCUUUCUCCUCCGUCGAACCACUCAGCAUUCAGCAAUGUGAUUGUUGUGUGUGAGAGUGAGAGGAUGGUUAUCGACUGUAUCCAGUAACAGAGAGCCAAGUCAAC
rnacentral:lncRNA from 1 species